GCACGUAGUUAGCCGGUGCUUCUUCUUCCGGUACCGUCAUCCACACCGGGUAUUAACCGAUGCGAUUUCGUCCCGGCCGAAAGAGGUUUACAACCCGAAGGCCUUCUUCCCUCACGCGGCAUGGCUGGAUCAGGCUUUCGCCCAUUGUCCAAAAUUCCCCA
rnacentral:rRNA from 1 species